rnacentral:lncRNA from 1 species
GUGCCCACAUGGGUCUCUGACCACAAGGACACAUGCGGAGGACAGGGGCUCCCUCUUCGGCGCUGACAGACCAAGGUACAAGGCCCGGUGUCAGAGCCCAGCUUCUUCAUGUCCUUGGCUGCCACAUUGAAGAGGAGGUGACAAAUCCCUGAGAGCAGUCACGGGUCACUUCCUGGCCUUUACCCUGGGCCACCACCUUGGGGUCUGUAUACCGAAGCCUCGGUCCCAUGAACCAGCUUGUGAACUAACUUCUGCGGUGUACGUGUAGACUCUGGCACAAACAUGAGGAUGGAUCUCUUGUGCCGUCCAGGAGAGAAGGGUCUGUGAAGAAUUGUGCUGGGAAUUGCAUUGAAUCUGUAGAUUACUGACUGACCCUUUCUUCCCAUCAACUCCUUCUGGCUUCACUUUUAUCCCGCUGGAACUUGCCUGUCACUGCCUGCCACCAUUGAUGUCUCGUCCCCGAAUGCUGCAGAAGGGGAAAACAUUCAUCUCCUUGUUCAUAAUCUGCCAGAGAACCUUGGAACCCUUUCCUGGUGUGGCAAAGAACUGAGGACCAGGGUUGCCUGCUCUCUCUGGGAUGAAGGAACUGGCUUGGAGUUCCUUGGCCCCUGAGGAACGAGGAGGUUACUGAGCACAGGCGGAGAGCUGGUACCCUAGCAGAAUCUGUGGAACAGUUGGUGAUGUGAUCCAAACUCCUUCUGUCUUUCAAUCAUUGUGCACAGAUUUGAUUUAAUAAAAGGUAAGGAUUCCUG